GCCAGUUGGUCACAAAGCCAACUGGAUUAUGUACCAAGAACCUCAGGGGCAGUUAGACGCAUAGUUAAUCAAUUUACUGUGGUUUGGUCAUUUGGGAGUUUUCUUACACACUUGUGGGAGAGAAUGUGACUGCUCCCGUAGAAGGAACAAUGCUCCUUCCCUGGGAAACUGCUAAGAACCUCCCCUUCACUCCUACACUGCUGCUGCCCCCACCCAAUAUCCACGCCAACGAAUUGCUUUGUAUAAUGACAGAUGUUACUGAUGGGAACUUAUUACAUAUAUAAACCAUUUGGGAGCCUAAAAGAAGUUGAAAUCUUAGACUUAGAAUAUGAGCCAACAAUACAGAUUAAGAAAACUGAAAUGGAGGAGAAACAGGUCAGUUUCACUAUCAGUGCCAACGAGCUCCGGUUGGUUCUACCCAGCUACCCUCUCCUGGGACCCCCCCAAGCUGAUUAGAGCCACAUCCAGUCCGGAGGAACACCAGCUCUUAAAGACACAUAAAAGAUAAACAGAUCUUAUUUUAUGGGAUGUUGCUUCUUCAUGUGAUGUCUGGACCUGUGGCAGCAAUCUUGGAAACAUGAAGGCGUUUAGUACAAGGAGACUAUGCCAAGGAUAGUAGAGCAGGCCCCUGAUGAUGUCACCAUAGACUCAAAACACAUUAGCAAAACAUAUAUAUAAAAGAAGGUUGCUAUCCGGUAUAUGAGAAGAACUCACACAACUCGGUAACAAACUAACAACUUGAUAAAAAAGGACCAAAAAUUUUGAAAAAAAUUCACAAAAGGAAUAUAUAAAUCACUUAAUAAACAAAUGAAAAGUGCUGCAUUGUGGAAAAGGAGAUUAAAACCACAAUGGCACACAAUAUCCACUAGAAAGGCUACAACGAGGAAGACAGCAACAAAUAUUGACAAGGAUGUGUCACAACCAGAAUGCUCGUACAUUGUUGGUAGGAGAGUAAUGACUCUUCUACAUUGUUGGUGGAAAUAUAAAAUUUUAUAAUCACUUCAAGGAAAGUUCUGGCAGGUUCUCAAAAAGUUAAAUGUAACUGUUUUCUAUGAUCAGCAAUUCCACUCCUGACUAUGUACCUAUAGUAGGCAGUACAAUGACCAUCCCAAAGAUGUUCAGGUUUGAAUACCCAGACCUAUGUUACUUAUCACAGGAGAAUUAAGGUUGCAGAUGGAAUUAAGGUUACUAAUCAGCUGACAUUAAAAUAGGGAGAUUAGUUUGGAUUAUCUAAAUGGGUCCAAGGUAAUUAUAGGGUCCUUUAAAUUGAAAGAAGAGGCAAAGAAGAGAGUAAGAGGGACAUGAGAUUACGGAAGGAUGGUCAUCGAAAUGCAAUGUUGCUGGCUUUGAAGAUGGAGAAGGGAGGCUAUGAACCAAGGCAAGUGGGUGAUGUCUAGAAGCUGGAAAAGGAAACAACCAAACUGCCUUUCAAUGUUGCUGCAUCAUUUUGCAUUCUGAUCAUCAAUGAACAAGAGUUCCUGUUAUUCUGAAUCCUCACCAACAAUUGAUAUUGUCAGUUUUGGGGAUUUUAGUCAUUUUAAUAGGUGUAUAGUGAUUUCUUAUUGUUAUUUACUUUGAAAGUCCCUAGUGACAAAUGGUGUUGAGUAUUUUUUCCAUAUGCUUAUUUGCUAUCUGUGUCUUCUCUCUGAUCUUUUACUGAUUUUUUAAUUGGA